GGAUGUAGCUCAGUGGUAGAGAACCUGCCCAGAAAGCAGAAGGUCUGGGUUCCAUCCCUAGCACUCCA
rnacentral:tRNA from 1 species